UGGGGAAUCUUGCGCAAUGGGGGAAACCCUGACGCAGCGACGCCGCGUGGAGGAUGAAGGCCUUCGGGUUGUAAACUCCUUUUCUUAGGGAAAAUGAUGAUGGUACCUAAGGAAUAAGCCACGGCUAACUCUGUGCCAGCAGCCGCGGUAAGACAGAGGUGGCGAGCGUUGUUCGGAAUUACUGGGCUUAAAGGGCGAGUAGGCGGUGGAGCAAGUCUGAGGUGGAAUCCUAUGGCUUAACCAUAGAACUGCCUUGGAUACUGUUUCACUUGAGUCAGUGAGGGGAGGGCAGAAUUCCCGGUGUAGCGGUGAAAUGCGUAGAUAUCGGGAGGAAGGCCAGUGGCGAAGGCGGCCCUCUGGCGCUGAACUGACGCUGAGGCGCGAAAGCGUGGGGAGCAAACAGG
rnacentral:rRNA from 1 species